rnacentral:rRNA from 1 species
AAACCAGGAUUAGAUACCCUAUUAUUUUAAUUGUAAAUUUUAAUGCCUGAUUAUUAAUAGAUUAUUUUCUUGAAAAUUAAAGAUUUUGGCGGUAUUUUAGUCUAUUCAGAGGAACCUGUCCUGUAAUUGAUAGCCCACGAUUUAAUUGACUUUUUCUUGUGGUUUGUAUAUCGUCGUGGUUUGAAUAUUUUAUAAGGAUUUUAAUGUUCAAUAAUUAUUAUUUUAA